GACGAACGCUGGCGGCGUGCUUAAUACAUGCAAGUCGAACGGACAGGCCCUGCUUUUGUGGGGUGCUCGAGUGGCGCACGGGUGAGUAAAACGCGUGUAACAUGUCCUUGUCUUUGGGAUAACUUUUCGAAACUGGGGCUCAUACCGGAUAGGAGCUAUUGAUGCAUGGGGGGGGUUGGUAAGUUUCGGCGGUUGGGGCUGGUCUCGCGGCUUAUCCGCUUGUUGGUGGGGUUGUGGAUUACCAAGGCUUCGACGGGUAGCCGGCCUGAGAGGGUGACCGGCCACAUUGGGACUGAGAUACGGCGCAGACUCCUACGUGAGGCAGCAGUGGAGAGUAUUGCACAAUGAGCGGAAGCCUGAUACAGCGGCGCCGCGUGCGGAAUAACGUCCUUCGGGUGGUAAACCGCUGUCGCCUGUGACGAAGCGUGAGUGACGGUAAUGGGUAAAGAAGCACCGGCUAACUACGUG
rnacentral:rRNA from 1 species